AUUGAACGCUGGCGGCAGGCCUAACACAUGCAAGUCGAACGAUAACAGGAAGCAGCUUGCUGCUUCGCUGACGAGUGGCGGGCGGGUGGGUAAUGUCUGGGAAGCUGCCUGAUGGAGGGGGAUAAAUUCUGGAAACGGUCGCUAAUACCGCAUAAUGUCGCAAGAUCAAAGAGGGGGACCUUCGGGACUCUUGCCAUCAGGUGUGCCCAGAUGGGAUUAGCUUGGUGGUGGGGUAAUGGCUCACCAAGGCGGCUAUGCCUAGCUGGUAUGAGAGGGUGACCAGGCACAUGGUGAGUGAGACACGGUCCAGACUCCGACGGGAGGCAGCAGUGGGGAAUAUUGCACGAUGGGGGCAUGCCGGAUGUAGCCAUGUCGCGUGUAGGAUGAAGGCGUUCGGGUGGGAGAGUACUGUCAGCGGGGAGGAAGGGAGUAAAUUUAAUACCGGUGCACAUUGACGUUACCCGCAGAAGAAGCCCCGGCUAACUCCGUG
rnacentral:rRNA from 1 species